AGAGUUUGAUCCUGGCUCAGAACGAACGCUGGCGGCAGGCUUAACACAUGCAAGUCGAACGCAUCUCUUCGGAGGUGAGUGGCAGACGGGUGAGUAACGCGUGGGAACGUACCCUUUGGUUCGGAAUAACCCAGGGAAACUUGGGCUAAUACCGGAUGCGCCGGAAACGGGAAAGGUUUACCGCCGAAGGAUCGGCCCGCGUCGGAUUAGCUAGUUGGUGGGGUAACGGCCUACCAAGGCGACGAUCCGUAGCUGGUCUGAGAGGAUGAUCAGCCACACUGGGACUGAGACACGGCCCAGACUCCUACGGGAGGCAGCAGUGGGGAAUAUUGGUCAAUGGGCGCAAGCCUGAACCAGCCAUGCCGCGUGAGUGAAGAAGGCCUUAGGGUUGUAAAGCUCUUUCAGCGGGGACGAUAAUGACGGUACCCGCAGAAGAAGCCCCGGCUAACUUCGUGCCAGCAGCCGCGGUAAUACGAAGGGGGCUAGCGUUGUUCGGAAUUACUGGGCGUAAAGCGCGCGUAGGCGGGCAUUUAAGUCAGGGGUGAAAUCCCAGGGCUCAACCCUGGAACUGCCUUUUGAUACUGGAUGUCUGGAGUUCGGGAGAGGUGAGUGGAAUUCCGAGUGUAGAGGUGAAAUUCGUAGAUAUUCGGAGGAACACCAGAAGCGAAGGCGGCUCACUGGCCCGAUACUGACGCUGAGGCGCGAAAGCGUGGGGAGCAAACAGGAUUAGAUACCCUAGUAGUCC
rnacentral:rRNA from 1 species